rnacentral:rRNA from 1 species
AUUGAACGCUGGCGGCAGGCCUAACACAUGCAAGUCGAACGACAGGCGGACGCGUGAGUAAUGUCUGGGAACCUGCCAGAUGGAGGGGGGUAACUACUGGAAAAGCUAGCUAAUACCGCAUAUAAUCGGAUCUGACCAGAGGGGAUUAGCUAGUGGGUGGGGUAACGGCUCACCUAGGCGACGUUCCCUAGACGGUCUGCGAGGUUGACCCGCCACACGGGAACUGAGACACGGUCCAGACGCCUACGGGGGGCAGCAGUGGGGAAUAUUGCACAAGGGGCGCAAGCCUGAUGCAGCCAGGCCGCGUGUAUGAAGAAGGCCUUCGGGUUGUAAAGUACUUUCAGCGAGGAGGCGUUACUCGCAGAAGAAGCACCGGCUAACUCCGUGCCAGCAGCCGCGGUAAUUC